AUUGAACGCUGGCGGCAUGCUUUACACAUGCAAGUCGAACGGUAACAGGUUAAGCUGACGAGUGGCGAACGGGUGAGUAAUGCAUCGGAACGUGCCCGAUCGUGGGGGAUAACGCAGCGAAAGCUGCGCUAAUACCGCAUACGAUCUGAGGAUGAAAGCGGGGGACCGUAAGGCCUCGCGCGAUCGGAGCGGCCGAUGUCAGAUUAGGUAGUUGGUGGGGUAAAGGCCCACCAAGCCGACGAUCUGUAGCUGGUCUGAGAGGACGACCAGCCACACUAGGACUGAGACACGGCCCAGACUCCUACGGGAGGCAGCAGUGGGGAAUUUUGGACAAUGGGCGAAAGCCUGAUCCAGCAAUGCCGCGUGCAGGAAGAAGGCCUUCGGGUUGUAAACUGCUUUUGUACGGAGCGAAAAGGUCCUUUCUAAUACAAGGGGCUCAUGACGGUACCGUAAGAAUAAGCACCGGCUAACUACGUGCCAGCCGCCGCCGUAAUAC
rnacentral:rRNA from 1 species